rnacentral:misc_RNA from 1 species
AUUCUCGGUUUCGGCUUCAUCCUUGUCAGCGGCUUCGCGCUGAUGCCGGCGCUGAUCAUGGCGCUGGUCACCGAAGCCUUUUCGAUCCGGCACAUUCUUGCCUACGCUGUCGCAGGCGGCCUCGCGGGCCUGUGCUGCUAUCUUGCCUUCAUCCCGUUCGACACCGUGAACAUGACCUUCAACGGCAUCAUCCGCCGGCAUCUCGAAGUGAUGGUCGGUGCGG